AUGAACGCUGGCGGCGUGCCUAAUACCUGCAAGUCGAGCGAACAGACGAGGAGCUUGCUCCUCUGACGUUAGCGGCGGACGGGUGAGUAACACGUGGAUAACCUACCUAUAAGACUGGGAUAACUUCGGGAAACCGGAGCUAAUACCGGAUAAUAUAUUGAACCGCAUGGUUCAAUAGUGAAAGACGGUUUUGCUGUCACUUAUAGAUGGAUCCGCGCCGCAUUAGCUAGUUGGUAAGGUAACGGCUUACCAAGGCAACGAUGCGUAGCCGACCUGAGAGGGUGAUCGGCCACACUGGAACUGAGACACGGUCCAGACUCCUACGGGAGGCAGCAGUAGGGAAUCUUCCGCAAUGGGCGAAAGCCUGACGGAGCAACGCCGCGUGAGUGAUGUAGGUCUUCGGAUCGUAAAACUCUGUUAUUAGGGAAGAACAAAUGUGUAAGUAACUAUGCACGUCUUGACGGUACCUAAUCAGAAAGCCACGGCUAACUACGUG
rnacentral:rRNA from 1 species